AACUUCACCUCUCGUGGCUACGCAUGGGAAUGUCCAGCCUCACGCAAAAACCCAUGGGAAAGCAUUGUAUAACACUUUCCUAUGGGAAAUCCUAAUUGGCCAUUGAUGAGUGAAGGUGAACCCGAGCCAGUGUGGAGGGACAUUGGCACCGAACCUGGGUAAGUGACAGAAGGGGCUUGUAACCCCUUCUGCACCAUGAGGUAGGGGCGCUUGACAGAGGGGGAAGCUAUAGUGCCAG